rnacentral:rRNA from 1 species
AUUGAACGCUGGCGCCAGGCUUAACACAUGCAAGUCGAACGAGUGGCGGACGGGUUAGUAAUGCUUGGGCAUCUAGCUUAUGGAGGGGGAUAACUACGGGAAACUGUCUCUAAUCCCGCGUUCCAUCGGAUGAGCCCAAGUGGGAUUAGGUUGUUGGUAAGGUAAAGGCUCACCAAGCCGACGAUCUCUAGCUGUUCUGAGAGGAUGACCAGCCACACUGGGACUGAGACACGGCCCAGACUCCGACGGGAGGCAGCAGUGGGGAAUAUUGCGCAAUGGGCGCAAGCCUGAUGCAGCCAUGCCGCGUGUAUGAAGAAGGCCUUAGGGUUGUAAAGUACUUUGAGCGGGGAGGCGUUACCCGAAGAAGAAGCAACGGCUAACUACGUGCCAGCAGCCGCGGUAAUAC